CGAACGCUGGCGGAGUGCUUAAGACAUGCAAGUCGUACGAGAAAGUCGCCUUCGGGUGAUGAGUAAAGUGGCGCACGGGUGAGUAUCACGUGGGUAAUCUACCCUCAGGUUCGGGACAACUCCGGGAAACUGGAGCUAAUACCGGAUAAGCCCCCAGGGUUUUCGGACCCAGUGGGAAAAGGUGGCCUCUUCAUGAAUGCUGCCGCCUGCUGAUGAGCCCGCGUCCCAUUAGCUUGUUGGUGAGGUAACGGCUCACCAAGGCUACGAUGGGUAGCUGGUCUGAGAGGAUGAUCAGCCACACUGGAACUGAGACACGGUCCAGACUCCUACGGGAGGCAGCAGUCGGGAAUCUUGGGCAAUGGGCGCAAGCCUGACCCAGCAACUCCGCGUGAGGGAUGAAGGCCCUCGGGUCGUAAACCUCUGUCGGGAGGGAAGAAAGCCGUGCGGUUAAUAGCUUCACGGUCUGACGGUACCUCCAAAGGAAGCGCCGGCUAACUCC
rnacentral:rRNA from 1 species